AUGGCCGCCAGGCUGCUGCUCCUCUCCUUCGAUUGCCCGGCCGUCGCUGGCGGGCGGCGGUCUCGUCUGUCUGCAAUGCCACGGAUGUCUUCCGGUGCUCCCCUCGUGCGGCCCCCAGCCUCAUCCGUCGGCGCGUUCGCGGUCACCGCCGCCAGAGGCAACCUGCCGCACCACACCUCCGUGGUUGUGGAGGGUGGUGGAGUUUACACUGUUCGUGACUUUAUGACUAAAAGGGAACAACUCCAUGUUGUGAAACCAUCCACUUCAGUAGAUGAAGCUCUUGAGAGGCUGGUGGAGCAUCGAAUAACUGGCUUUCCUGUUACCGAUGAUCACUGGAAUUUGGUUGGUGUGGUCUCAGAUUAUGAUCUGUUAGCACUGGACUUGAUAUCAGGAAAUGGACAGGCUGAAGCGGACAUAUUUCCUGAGGUGGACAGCACUUGGAAGACUUUCCAUCAGAUACAAAAGCUCUUAAGCAAAACCAAUGGGAAAGUAGUUAGUGAUGUUAUGACUUCUGCACCUCUUGUGGUGCGUGAAACUACUAACCUUGAAGAUGCUGCAAGGUUACUUCUUGUUACUAAAUACCGCAGGCUGCCAGUAGUCGACAGUUCGGGCAAAUUGGUUGGAAUCAUCACAAGAGGGAACGUCGUCAGAGCUGCUCUUGAGUUUAAGAAAAAUGUUGAAGGGAGUCUUUGA
rnacentral:rRNA from 1 species